UCUGGUGAUCAUGCCGGAGGGGUUCCACCCGUUCCCAUCUCGAACACGGAAGUUAAGACCUUCAGGGCCGAUGAUACUUGGGGCGCAAGCCCCUGGCAAAGUAGGUCAUCGCCAGGU
rnacentral:rRNA from 1 species